AUUCUUGGAUGCAUCAAAUGACUACUACACCUCUGCUGUUUUACGUUCUGUUCUGGACAGCAACCAAAGGAUGUACACAGUAAGAUCUGAAAAAGAAUGAAAAAGAGUGAAGAGCAAAUAUUCUACACCUAUUCAGGUUGGACCAUGUGGGACCCAGCCUUGUCCUGCUGUCACCCCUAGAAGUCCUCCCUGUGAACCCCAACCGUCUCCUACCCGUGCUGACUCUCAAAUCAAGGCCCCGGAUUCCCAAGAUUCCUCGUCAUCCAAGGAGGAAUAUCUUCCCAACACAAGUGUGUGGAACCUUAGCCAAAGAAGGGAUGCAUGAAUAAAAAGGUGAGAAAGUGAUUCUGAAAAUCUUCAACCACAAAUGGGAAAGAAGAAUACUGAUCCAGGAUCGGGAGCAGAAUCAUAGAUUCCAGAGCGUCUAGUUUAUGCUCUAUCUCUGAGUGGACAGCCUUGCUCUGAUCUUGCUGCUGCGCAGUGACAGAACGCAGAAGGAACAGACAAUCCAGAGGCCCAGACAAGGCAGCCAUUGUGAAUGCCUCUUGAGCAUGCAGACAAUGAUAGGGGAAGUUCACAGCCAGGAUUGAGAGCUGCCACAGAGAGGCUUCCAAACCUACUUAGUCUUGAGCUGUUUAAGAUGGUGAACCAAUUGGAGAACACAGGCCUCCUCUUGCUGGGGCCUGUUCUCAAAUCGUACGCAAAAGGAUGCUACCCCUGUGAUCCCAUCUCAAACGUGUGUUCUUCACAAUGAUUUUCAGUUGUUCCCAUUCAAUUAGCAUGUUUUUCCUGUAAAGCAUGGCACCAAUUUGAAAACCAGUUUUCUUUGCCUGUAGAAAGCCUCAGCUGUUUUAAUCUACAUUUUUGGAGAAAAUAUAUGCGUUUAUUUAAAAAUGAAAGGUUUUGCUUUUGCAGAGUGUGGGUAUUUUUCAAGUAACUAUAAUUUCAUACCAGGUGUUGAUUUUCACCCAGGGUUGUAUUUUCUGUUUUUAAGCAUUUCAAUAAAAAAAAAAAAAAACAUAUUAAACUAUACUAUGU